GGGCGCUUAGCUCAGCCUGGACAGAGUGUCUGGCUUCGGACCAGAUUGUCGCGGGUUCAAAUCCUGCAGCGCCCA
rnacentral:tRNA from 6 species